rfam:Brevibacterium linens strain AE038-8 ctg21, whole genome shotgun sequence.
GGCUUUCUUCGCGGCGGAGCUCGACCGCCCCUCAAAGUAGUCGUCGCCUUCAUCGACGAGUGCAAAGACGAGUUCGGAGUCGAGCCGAUCUGUGCCACGCUGCGUGCUGCCGGCGUGAAGAUCGCUCCG